CGUCCUUUAUGGGUUCUGGGACCUGACUGGGGGUUUCUGAGUCUUUCAACACCCCACAGGGUUUGUUACCCUCAAGAGCUUUCUUUGCCGCAUCUUCUGCAGCUUUCUUUGCCGCAUCUUCUGCUUGAGCCUUCCUAUCCCUGAUAACUGCCCUUUGUGCUUGAUCGGGUCUAAAGGGACCCCCUCUGUGGGGAUUAUAGUUCUGGGGCCCAGAAAUGACAUUCAUAUGCCAAAGCGUCCUGUUAUCGUCAGGGUUUGGGGCGUUGUAGGUGACGCUUAUGUCCCCCUUAAACCUCCUCCGUCUUUUGUUGCAGUUGCUGUAAUUCAUUGUCUCCAUUUGAAAAUUAGAACUUUCUGUGUUCUCUGUGUUUUCAACGGGCCUUUGUAGAGAUGGUGUAGAGAUGGUGUGAAGAUUGUGUUCUCAGUGAUGCAGAAAAAGAAGAAUCCUGGAAAGUACUGACUGGAAACGGUAAGGUUUACAAAAUACCUCAUAUACAGCUUCAGAGACUAAAGCCAAUAAAGGGAUCAAAGCCUGCUGUGAUGUCAUCACGCGUCUACACAGCUGUGACGUCAUCACAUUCUAUUUGCUCACUCUCGCUCUACGCGCGCUCUCGCUCGCGCGCUCUCUCGCUGCGAUUGCAUCACAACAUGGACAUGUUCUCCAAGCUCCGUUUGUCACAGCGUCACUCAACGCACUGUGAUCACGUGACGUCCUUUCCCCCUCACAGUGGCGCAGUGGUUCUCCAACAGGUGGGGCGGGGGGGGGGCAGUGCGGAGAACUUCACGUAUUACUAAAGUACGUGUCAAUAUUUACGUUACGGUUACGGCGUAAGCAGGUUACGCUUGCGCAUGCGCGAUCGCGACGACCGAGCUCCUUUGCGACUUCCGUGCAGCUUAGCAGCGUGCACAACGGAGAGGAGGGGAAAGAAAAGCAACCGCAAAGUAUAAUAUGAUAUCGAAGGGACCUUACCCCAACCCGAGGGUGUGGCAGUGUGGCCACUAGAUGGCAGUGUGUGACUGUGUUCUGACAGUCCAGAUGAAAGAGUGAUGAAUGAGCUGAGACCAAAGUCUGAAACAAAGAAUGAAAAGGAAACCAUUUGUCCUCACACAGAGUUUCGCAUCAGGGGUGGAGGAGCUCCAGAGGCGAGAGGCGGAGCGGCUCAAGGCUCUUGACCCCGUGGUGGACAGACGAGCUGGGGGGACAGUCAGGUCGAUGGAGGAGGCCGACCUGAGAGACCGGGUGGGGAUGCUGAUUUGGAGGAGGUGACAUUGAACCACAGGCCACUCUCGGGCUUGCCUUCAACGACCAAGACAGUUAUUCCACCACAGCCAUUGGUAUGUCACAUCUUACAUGCAACCUCAGCUUGAGGCUGUUGGCAGGUGUGUGCACCGUGGGUCUGUGAAGAGUCAACAUUUCCAACAGUCGGCUAGAAUGGCAUAUGUUAUGCCAAAGUUUACAGGCCGCUUAUGUGGUAUGUUACUGAAAAGUAUCAAAACCUAUGUUGAUCAUCAGAUUCUGCAUAGACAUGAGGCAAACAGUUACUAUCCAUGUUGCUUUUCAGACUGCAAACAAAAAUUCACUAAGUACACUGCCUUAAAAGCUCAUGUCUAUCGUUCCCACAACAGCCCUGUUUCACAGUUUGAUGACACACAACGGUCAUUUGUGUGUGAUGCUGUUUAUUGUAAAAAGCAAUGCAUUGAUCUGAGAGAUCUUCUUACACACCUCAAAGUACAUUUGAGUAAGGAUGAGGUAAUACAUUGCCCAUUUAGCAAUUGUAACAAGACAUUCCAAGUGAAGUCAUCAUUUACAUCCCAUGUUUCAAGAACACAUAAACAUGACACUGAUGUAAAUACUAGAGUCACAUACUCUGAGCCAUCUGUAUCCUCUCAGAUUGAGCCCAAUGAAACUGGAAUGGUCCAAAGUGAAAAUCUCUCAGGUCACGGAAGAUAUUGAUAUUAGGUCUUUGUACAUGAGAAAUCUGUCCUUGUUUUACAUGCAACUCCAGGCAAAGUAUCUUGUUCCAUCUUCAACUAUUCAAAUGAUUGUUGAAGAGAUCAAUGGUUUAAAUGACAUUUGCCAUCAGCACACAAACGACAAGAUUAAAGAGACACUUAAGGUUAAUACGAACAUGUCAGAUACUGAGAUAGAUUCAGUUUUUCAGAGUCUUUGGAUAAUUUUCAUUCUUCAUUCUAGGGAUAUGAGCUGAAUAUAAUAUAUCUUUGAGUUUCAAACGGUAUUUCCUACUUAUUUUUCCUUCUUGAAAGAUAUUUCUUCAUUUUCACCCAUGAUUCUCAUUUAUUUAAUGUAUCUUUUUUUUCAAUUUAAGUGUCACAAUAUGGGAUAUGAAAUAAAUUUUACUUUAAGUAAUUAAGUCAUGGCAUUUCGAAGUCUGAUUAAGGAUUAUACAGCAACAAUGCUGUUGUCAAAGUGUGCAAAGUUUUCACUUGUUGAAUUCCAAAACAUGUAUUCCUUAAAGCCACAUAAAACAAUAUUAAAUGCAUUUUAUCACAGUAAAAUGACCCCUUGUAAUGUGUCAUCCCUGUGGGUCUUCGUUCAACCAUACAAUUGCUAAAUUUCUGUAUCGGCCCAAACAAGCUCCUCCUCUGCCCUCCUCAUCCCUUUGACGCUUCAACUUCAGUCAAAGCGCCUCUGAAACGUCACAUUCUGCAGUCAAACCUUUACAAAUUUCAGAUCCAUGGCGCGAGUGCCUCAAGAGAAAAGGUUAAUUCAAAGCAGUUUGCCAGAAACUAAUUGUUAACUUUGCAGCUAAAUGUUAUUUCACUAACUUUGUCAUGCCAGAAUUACUUAUCUAAUUACUCUGAAUAUCCUAUGUUACAAUUUUCUUUCUUUUUUUCCAACAGAUGCAUCUUCAAAAUAAACCCAGAUCAAGGGACCAAAGUUGCACGGAAAGGAAAGGGCCGUCAGUAUGCUGUCAACCCAAGGGUGCUGAGCCUCAUUUCGGUUAUCGCAAAUUUUGAGUGGAGAGUAACGGUUAAGCUCACUCCUUCACCAAACAAACACAAUCAACAGACAAUAAAUAUAUACAUUGUUCAGUCCAAACCAGCUCCUGUGUUAGUUUUGGAAACAAGAGCAAACCAAGGUGCAGUAUUGAUUUCUGGUUCUUGUUUGUUUGUUGAUUCGUUUUGUCCUGUUGUGAUGGUUUGCUUAGCGAUGUGAUCAGUGUCUUAACAGGCUAUUAAAAUGCAGUAAAACUUUCUAUGAAGCCCAUGUCUAUAAUGCAUUAUAAAGAUACUAUUGCAUUAUAAAGAUACUUGUAAUGCCUUAUCUGCUUCAUAGCUACAAUUAUAGUUCUAAGCACUCAAGCACAAAAAUAUUUAUAAAACCACAUUACAAAACGUUUAUAAUGACUUAUCAAGUAUCACAAUACUUCAUAAUUGCUGCUACUCACUGACAUUCUUUUGCAAGGAUCAUUGUUGUAUUAUUAUGAUCAUUGUUGUAAUAUGUUAUAAUUUUAUAAUACAUUGCAAUCACUGUUAUAAUGCAAUGUAAGCUGAUUUAACACAUUACAAGCUGGUUAUAAGUCAUUAUAAGUAGUCAUCUUUUGCUUUAAUUAAAGUGAAAACAAAAUGUUAAUUUACUUGUUUAACAUGUCUAACAGAAAUUGAGUUCAAUACAAAAGUCAGCAGUCUUACCUCUAAAGUAAUCUACAAAUGAGCACUACUGUCUCUGUCAUCUGCUGUCAAAACCACCAUUCCUCUCCGGUGUCAGGCUCCUUCUUAUUCACUUGCAUUCAAUUUGAGAACCAAGUUUAAAUAGAAUAUACUUCUGAAUUAUAAACAAAAACCACAGCAAUAUUAAUCUAUUUUUUUGUUGUUGCUAAUAUUGCUAUUUUCUAAUUAUGAGUGUUUAAACUCUCACUUGAGGUGUCGUAUACGGUCAACUUCUCACAGAAUGUUUAGGAUCUUUCCUCCAGCAAGGCAGUAGGUAACCAUGGUAACCACUCCCCAACAUUAUCUCAACCUCUGGUUCUGGAAAAGUGAAGCCAAUGCAGAAGUGCCUUAAAACUGCCAGCAGGGGGCAAAUCUACUACUUUAAAAAAUAAGUCUGAUUGUAUAGAAGUCUAUGAAAAAAUUACCCAAUGUCUCACUUGAUUAAUUACAUUUUCCAAAUUAGUUUAUGAUCUCAAUCACUAGUUUCAAGUCUUUAAUGCGACAUGGCAUUCAUUCAUAAAUGAUGUUCUCGUUUGGAAUAAAACAAAAAAUAAAGCAGGUUAUGCUUUAAUUUAAAGCGAUGUACACGAGAUUUUAAUAAAAUGCAACCAAGUGUGACGACCCUCCUCCCAUACCUUAGGUGUCACUGUUUUGAUUCUUUGUUACAGGUGCUGAUUAGAUUGUCGUCAACCUGCUUGAUCCACACCUGUGGCCUGGCCUUGAAGACCUGCAUUUGGCAUCCUGGUCUCUCUGGGUGUGGGAGAUCCUUUGUGUUGCUGGCGUUGCCACUUUAGUUUGUAUAUGUUUCUUUGCACGUAUAUGUUUCUUUAUACAUACUGCCACACAUCCAUACAUGCACUUCACUAUUGAUAACUGAUACCUCUACUUUGUUCAAAAUAAAUCAAUUUUGUUUGCA